GUGCCAGCCGCCGCGGUAAUACCGGCAGCUCAAGUGAUGUCCCAUAUUAUUGGGCCUAAAGCGUCCGUAGCUGGCCGACCGAGUCUCCCGGGAAAUCCACCCGCCCAACGGGUGGGCGUCCGGUAGAAACUGGCCGGCUUGGAACCGGAAGGCUCAGAGAGUACGUCCGGGGUAGGAGUGAAAUCCUGUAAUCCUGGACGGACCGCCGAUGGCGAAAGCACGUCGGGAAGACGGAUCCGACGGUGAGGGACGAAAGCCAGGGUCUCCAACCGGAUUAGAAACCCGUGUAGUCC
rnacentral:rRNA from 1 species